UACGUAGGGUGCGAGCGUUGUCCGGAAUUAUUGGGCGUAAAGAGCUCGUAGGCGGCUUGUCGCGUCGGAUGUGAAAGCCCGGGGCUUAACUCCGGGUCUGCAUUCGAUACGGGCAGGCUAGAGUUCGGUAGGGGAGAUCGGAAUUCCUGGUGUAGCGGUGAAAUGCGCAGAUAUCAGGAGGAACACCAGUGGCGAAGGCGGUUGCCUGGAGCUUGCUGACGCUGAGGCGCGAAAGCGUGGGGAGCGAUCCGG
rnacentral:rRNA from 1 species